AUACGAAGGGGGCUAGCGUUGUGCGGAAUUACUGGGCGUAAAGCGCACGUAGGCGGAUUGAUAAGUUAGGGGUGAAAUCCCGAGGCUCAACCUCGGAACUGCCUUUAAUACUGUUAGUCUCGAGUCCGGAAGAGGUGAGUGGAAUUCCUAGUGUAGAGGUGGAAUUCGUAGAUAUUAGGAAGAACACCAGUGGCGAAGGCGGCUCACUGGUCCGGUACUGACGCUGAGGUGCGAAAGCGUGGGGAGCAAACAGGAUUAGAAACCCGAGUAGUCC
rnacentral:rRNA from 1 species